rnacentral:rRNA from 1 species
UGGGUCUCCUACCUGAUCCGAGGUCAACCUUUGGAAAAUUGGGGGGUUUUACGGCAAGAGUCCCUCCGGAUCCCAGUGCGAGACGUAAAGUUACUACGCAAAGGAGGCUCCGGGAGGGUCCGCCACUACCUUUGAGGGCCUACAUCAGCUGUAGGGCCCCAACACCAAGCAGAGCUUGAGGGUUGAAAUGACGCUCGAACAGGCAUGCCCGCCAGAAUGCUGGCGGGCGCAAUGUGCGUUCAAAGAUUCGAUGAUUCACUGAAUUCUGCAAUUCACAUUACUUAUCGCAUUUCGCUGCGUUCUUCAUCGAUGCCAGAACCAAGAGAUCCGUUGUUAAAAGUUUUGAUUAUUUGCUUGUACCACUCAGAAGAAACGUCGUUAAAUCAGAGUUUGGUUAUCCUCCGGCGGGCGCCGACCCGCCCGGGGGCGGGAGGCCGGGAGGGUCACGGAGACCCUACCCGCCGAAGCAACAGUUAUAGGUAUGUUCACAAAGGGUUAUAGAGCGUAAACUCAGUAAUGAUCCCUCCGAAGGUUCACCCCUACGGAA